UACGGAGGGUGCAAGCGUUAUCCGGAUUCACUGGGUUUAAAGGGUGCGUAGGUGGGUUGGUAAGUCAGUGGUGAAAUCUCCGUGCUUAACAUGGAAACUGCCAUUGAUACUACUGAUCUUGAAUUUUCUGGAGGUAAGCGGAAUAUGUCAUGUAGCGGUGAAAUGCUUAGAUAUGACAUAGAACACCAAUUGCGAAGGCAGCUUGCUACAGGGAUAUUGACACUGAGGCACGAAAGCGUGGGGAUCGAACAGG
rnacentral:rRNA from 1 species